GUAGUUUGACUCCGUGGCUACGAGGACGAACGCUGGCGGCGUGCCUAACACAUGCAAGUCGAACGGAGUCUUCGGACUCAGUGGCGAACGGGUGAGUAAUACGCAGAUAAUCUGCCCUUCUCUUGGGCAUAACAACCCGAAAGGGUUGCUAAUUCCGAAUGCACAAACUGAUCGCAUGGUCGGUUUGAUAAAGGCGUAAGUCGGAGGAGGAGGAGUCUGCGGCUGAUUAGCUGGUUGGCGGGGUAAGAGCCCACCAAGGCGACGAUCAGUAGCCGGUCUGAGAGGAUGAACGGCCACAAUGGAACUGAGACACGGUUCAUACUCCUACGGGAGGCAGCAGUGGGGAAUUUUCCGCAAUGGAGGAAACUCUGACGGAGCGACGCCGCGUGAGUGAAGAAGGGCUUAGGCUCGUAAAGCUCUGUUGAUCGGGACGAAGUUUGACGGUACCGAUCGAGGAAGCCACGGCUAACUACGUGCC
rnacentral:rRNA from 1 species